CAGCAGCCGCGGUAAUACCGGCGGCCCGAGUGGCGGUCACUAUUAUUGGGCUUAAAGCGUCCGUAGCCGGGUUGGGAAGUCCUCCGGGAAAUCUGGCCGCUUAACGGUCAGAAUGCCGGAGGAUACUCCCAGCCUAGGGGGCGGGAGAGGCCGAGGGGAUUCCCGGGGUGGGGGUGAAAUCCUAUAAUCCCGGGAGGGCCACCUGUGGGGAAGGCGCUCGGCUGGAACGCGUCCGACGGUGAGGGACGAAGGCCAGGGGAGCAAACCGGAUUAGAUACCCGGGUAGUCCUGGCUGUAAACGAUGCGGACUUUGUGUCGGACAAGCUAUGAGCUUGUCCGGUGCCGGAGGGAAACCGUUAAGUCCGCCGCCUGGGGAGUACGGCCGCAAGGCUGAAACUUAAAGGAAUUGGCGGG
rnacentral:rRNA from 1 species